rnacentral:rRNA from 1 species
GCUGGUGGUUAUAGAUGAGGUGAAAUACCUGAGCCCAUUUCGAACUCAGAAGUCAAGCCCUCUAUCGCCGAUGGUACUAUACGCAAGAGUAUGGGAGAGUAGGUAGCUGCCAGUU